GAGUUUGAUUAUGGCUCAGAACGAACGCUCGCGACGUGCCUAACACAUGCAAGUCGUGCGGACUUGAGGGGCUUGCUCCUCAAGUCAGCGGCAGACGGGUGAGUAACACGUGGGUAACCUGCCCUAAAAUGGGGGAUAACCCGGGGAAACUCGGGCUAAUACCGCAUAAGAUCGUUUUUUUUGCGAAAGAGGCGAUGAAAGCUGGGGAUCGUAAGACCUGGCGUUUUAGGAGGGGCCCGCGCCCGAUUAGCUAGUUGGUGAGGUAACGGCCCACCAAGGCUUCGAUCGGUAGCCGGCCUGAGAGGGUGUCCGGCCACACUGGGACUGAGACACGGCCCAGACUCCUACGGGAGGCAGCAGUGAGGAAUUAUGCGCAAUGGACGAUAGUCUGGCGCUGCGACGUCGCGUGGGUGAUGAAGGUCUUCGGAUCGUAAAACCCUGUCGAGAGGGAAGAAAGAGCGGACGCUAAUAUCGCCUGCUUCUGACGGUACCUCUGGAGGAAGCCCCGGCUAACUCUGUGCCAGCAGCCGCGGUAAUACAGAGGGGGCAAGCGUUGUUCGGAAUUACUGGGCGUAAAGCGCGCGUAGGCGGUCGUAUAAGUCGGAUGUGAAAGCCCUUGGCUCAACCAAGGAACUGCGUCCGAUACUGCACGGCUUGAGGCUGGUAGGGGGUAGCGGAAUUCCCGGUGUAGCGGUGGAAUGCGUAGAUAUCGGGAGGAACACCGAUGGCGAAAGCGGCUACCUGGGCCAGAUCUGACGCUGAGGCGCGAAAGCUAGGGGAGCAAACAGGAUUAGAUACCCUGGUAGUCCUAGCUGUAAACGAUGGGCACUUGGUGUUGCGGGCUUCUACCCCUGCAGCGCCGGAGCUAACGCGUUAAGUGCCCCGCCUGGGGAGUACGGUCGCAAGGCUGAAACUCAAAUGAAUUGACGGGG
rnacentral:rRNA from 1 species